rnacentral:rRNA from 1 species
UACGGAGGGUGCAAGCGUUGUCCGGAUUUAUUGGGUUUAAAGGGUGCGUAGGCGGUCUUUUAAGUCAGUGGUGAAAGCCUCCAGCUUAACUGGAGAACAGCCAUUGAUACUGGAAGACUUGAGUACAGACGAGGUAGGCGGAAUUGACAGUGUAGCGGUGAAAUGCAUAGAUAUUGUCAAGAACACCGAUUGCGAAGGCAGCUUACUAGACUGUAACUGACACUGAGGCACGAAAGCGUGGGGAUCAAACAGG